AUGGAGAAGGUGCAGGCGACGUUGGAGGAGAUCCUGACCCGCUUCACCGCCAUGGAUACCAGCGUCAAGACCGUCUCCGAGGAGGUCACCAGCCUGCGCAAACAGGUAGAGGAGUUUGGCGACGAGAUGGACCACAUCAAGCACCGCGUCCACGACACCGGCAAGUCAACCCCAUCGUCCUCGUCCGCGCUGCAUCAGGAGACCACUCCGCCACCUGCCGACAAGGGCCAUGGAGUGCCGCUGCUCGCCAAUAAUCAUCCACCGCUGCUUGGAACUCCUCAACAGCAGCCGUCCGGAUUUCACACCGCGCUGUCAUCACCACACGAGCAGGAUGUGCGGCCCACCCUCCACGCCCAACCAGAUCAGGAGGAGUACCGGCCGCGUCAACCACGCCAUGAUUUUCCACGUUUCCAUGGUGAGAUGCCCCUGCUUUGGAUAGACCAGUGCUUGACUUAUUUCGAGAUGUACCGAGUGCCUGUUCAUCACUGGGUCAGUACUGCUACUCUGUACUUGGAUGGAUUGGCUGCGAUGUGGUUUCAGGCAUAUAAGCGUUUGCAUAGACGUCUCACUUGGGAUGAAUUCACGGGUGCUGUGGUGACUGAAUUUGGGCAUGACGAGUAUGAUGUUCAGAUGACUAAGUUGCAGCAGUUACGGCAAACCACUUCUGUGAAUGAAUAUAAGGCCCAAUUUGAAGAGUGUAUGUAUCAUUUGCUUUCUCUGGAUCCAACCAUGAGCACUCGCUGGUUUGUCUCUCAGUUUGUCUUUGGAUUACGAGAUGAGCUUCGUGGACCUGUGAGAUUUCAGGCUCCUACUAGUGUUACCCGCGCUGCAGCUUUGGCAAAAAUUCAGGAAGAAGAAGUGGAACACAUACGACCCAGAAAUCGUCCAGCAGCUCCAACAAAACAUCCACCACAACCUGUAGCAGGUGUGGUGCAUAGACCAGCUCUGGGACGAACAGAAUUGCCUCACCGUCAGGGCAAUGAUGAUUUUAACAGGGAACGGCAGAUCCGUGAUUUUCGGCGCGCCAAUGGUCUUUGUUUUAAAUGUGGGGAUAAGUAUUCCAAAGAGCAUUAG
rnacentral:rRNA from 1 species